GAGUUUGAUCCUGGCUCAGAACGAACGCUGGCGGCGUGCUUAACACAUGCAAGUCGAACGUGAUCCAGAGCUUGCUCUGGUGAAAGUGGCGCACGGGUGAGUAACGCGUGGAUAACCUGCCCUGGUAUCUGGGAUAACAUCUCGAAAGGGGUGCUAAUACCGGAUAAGCCUACGGACUCUUCGGAGUCUGCAGGAAAAGGUGGCCUCUAUUUAUAAGCUACCGUAUCAGGAUGAGUCCGCGUACCAUUAGCUAGUUGGUGGGGUAAUGGCCCACCAAGGCUACGAUGGUUAGCUGGUCUGAGAGGAUGAUCAGCCACACUGGAACUGAGACACGGUCCAGACUCCUACGGGAGGCAGCAGUGGGGAAUUUUGCGCAAUGGGGGAAACCCUGACGCAGCAACGCCGCGUGAGUGAUGAAGGCUUUCGGGUCGUAAAGCUCUGUCAGAGGGGAAGAAAUGAGUCUGGCUAAUAUCCAGAUUUCUUGACGGUACCCUCAAAGGAAGCACCGGCUAACUCCGUGCCAGCAGCCGCGGUAAUACAAGKSCRYYMYCWAAAAAUAUYCAUCCCACUKKCKGCCGCUCCCYKCRUGCAGAAMRGGGKCCGCGGGASACACGCCAARG
rnacentral:rRNA from 1 species